rnacentral:lncRNA from 1 species
GCAGCCUGGUUUCUUGCUUGGACUCUAGUAUAUAUUUGCUAAAUCUCCCAAGCCUCAGUCUCACUAUUUGCAAAAGUGAGUUUUAAUGCUCUUUGCCCUGCUUGCCUCACAGGAUCUUAACAUAGACGUAAGAUCAAAUGCAAUAGCAUGUCAAACAAUGUGUAACUCCAGUUAUACAAACAUUACUGUAUCUCAUUGGGGAUACGAAGCUCUACACACUUGAAGAUGGUGAAGGAAUAUAAAAAUCUAUGUCUCACAGUCCAGACUUGGAGUACAAGUAAUAAGAAGAAUAAAACUUAAUCCCUUAAGUAGAUUCACCAUAAGUUAGCUCAGAGCAAUUCCAGUGCAAGUAUGGUCUGUGAUCCAGUAGUAUCUUACAGACAGCAAGUUGAACAUUGUGGGAUGCAUGAGCUAUUGAGGCCUUUGCAGCUUUCUGCUACAUGGAGGCUAGGGCCAGAGUCAAGAUUUAUGCUUUGCAGCACACUGGUCAGCUGUUUUUGCAAAUCAGAUUAAAUGAUUUUUAAAUGAGGCUGAGAGCAUGGGAGAUACUAAUGUGUGUUUCCUUGUGAGCUACUGCAUAAG